rnacentral:pre_miRNA from 1 species
UGCAGGCUGCUAUGGCUGGUCAAACGGAACCAAGUCCGUCUUCCCUAGAGGUUUGGUCCCCUUCAACCAGCUAUGGCAGUACUGAACC